rnacentral:rRNA from 1 species
ACACCGGCGAGCUCAAGUGGUGGCCAUUUUUAUUGGGCCUAAAGCGUUCGUAGCCGGUUUGAUAAGUCUCUGGUGAAAUUUCACGGCUUAACCAUGAGAAUUGCUGGAGAUACUAUUAGGCUUGAGGCCGGGAGAGGCUGGAGGUACUCCCAGGGUAGGGGUGAAAUCCUAUAAUCCUGGGAGGACCACCUGUGGCGAAGGCGUCCAGCUGGAACGGACCUGACGGUGAGUAACG